GAUGAACGCUGGCGGCGUGCCUAAUACAUGCAAGUCGAGCGAACAGAUGAGGAGCUUGCUCCUCUGACGUUAGCGGCGGACGGGUGAGUAACACGUGGAUAACCUACCUAUAAGACUGGGAUAACUUCGGGAAACCGGAGCUAAUACCGGAUAAUAUAUUGAACCGCAUGGUUCAAUAGUGAAAGACGGUUUUGCCGUCACUUAUAGAUGGAUCCGCGCCGCAUUAGCUAGUUGGUAAGGUAACGGCUUACCAAGGCAACGAUGCGUAGCCGACCUGAGAGGGUGAUCGGCCACACUGGAACUGAGACACGGUCCAGACUCCUACGGGAGGCAGCAGUAGGGAAUCUUCCGCAAUGGGCGAAAGCCUGACGGAACAACGCCGCGUGAGUGAUGAAGGUCUUCGGAUCGUAAAACUCUGUUAUUAGGGAAGAACAAAUGUGUAAGUAACUAUGCACGUCUUGACGGUACCUAAUCAGAAAGCCACGGCUAACUACGUG
rnacentral:rRNA from 1 species